CGCUUCAGAUCUAUUGUUCAUCUUUCUUCCACCGUUUGCUCUUCUGAGUUUCUCAUUUUGUAACGCUUCUUGAUGCUUUUCUUUCUUCCAGUAUGAACAAUCUUCUCCUCCCUUCUCCAUUUUCUAUUCUUCUCCCCCGUGCCCCUUUCUUUUAUUGUUUCUAAUCUUCUUUUUCUACCUGAUUUUCUCUUCUCUGUUUCUUUCUUUUCACUUACCUACCUCUUUUUGAGAUUGGGGUUUUUUCAUAUCCGCUCUAUGUCAAUUCAUUUUUGUUUUUCCUUUCAAAAGGUUUCCAUUAUUCACCAUUUCGCAUCUUCAUUCGCUUUCUAACUCCAUUUAUAGAUUUCGAAUCCCUACAGGUGUUGUUACUGUUAGGAGCUUCAUUAACAUGCCAUUUCAGACCCUUACAUUAUGUUUUCCUUGCAUAAGGUUUUGCUCGCAAAUUCCAUCUUUUGGUGAUUACGAUGAAGACUUUGAGGUUUCUGAUUUCACCAACUGUACUAAUUAAUUUCAUGUUUUCUAUUACUUUCAUCAGAAUGGUCCAUCUUUAUUACCCUGGCUUUGAACAACCUUGGGUUUAGGAGUUUUCCACAAUUUAAAGCUUUUAGAUGAUGAGAUGGGGACUGAGAUUAGUUUAUACUCUCCUUCUUCAAGUUGAAAGAAAUCAUAAAUCAUGACUUCCCCAGGUGGUGCUUAUCGAAAACUCUUCACAGCUAGACAUGCUAAAGGCAUUGGUUAGAUAAGAAACUGGGAUAAAGGGAAUUCAAACAUGCUAUAACAUGCUCAAGGCAUUGGUUAGAGAAGAGCGUGGGUAUCAAGGGAAUUCAAACAUGUUAUAAGUGAUGGAGAAUUUGUAGGUAGAGACAUGGAUAUGCUAUUGCAAGGCCUCAGCCUCAACCUUUACCCGCCUGCAAUCCGCCCUCCGUUGUUUCCCACUUCCAGACCCGACACCAAGCUCUAAUUGGAUUCCGCUCUAUUUGAACUAAAGAGGUUCAUAACCGGAUGAAGAGUGUGAAGAAUAUCCAAAAAUCACCAAGGAAUGAAGAUGGUUGCUGCUCCCAAGCUACAAUUCAUAACCGGAUGAAGAGUGUGAAGAAUAUCCAAAAAAACACGAAGGAGUGAAGAUGGUUUCUGCUUCCAAGCUACAAGUAUGUUCUUUUUUUAUGAUCUAUAAACAAACUUAAAUUGCAGUCUCACCCCUUUCAGACUGUAGUGUUUUUUUUUAUAAAAUGUGAUCUACAUGGGAAUGAUUAAGCAGUGAUUUUGUGCAAGAGUAACACACAGUGAUGAAAUUAAUGGAGGAUUGGAAAAAAAAGACGGAUAGGGAGAAAGAUUGGAUUGCUUUACAAAGCAAUUCAGUUUAUAAGAAAUGUGAUAAUAAACCUGAUGAGACAAUGGCUUGGAAGGACAAUAGAUGAAGUGUGUUGUGUUCACAUCUCUUUAUCGGAGCCCUAAAAUUAUGAAACUGAAACCAUGUUUACUUUCAAGAGGUGCUGAAGCUUGAAACGUUUCUCAUGUUUGUCCUAUUGAAAGAGAUCAUAAUAUUAAAGUCCCAAGGAAAACUAAACAAAGAAAUUAAUGCUCUUCCCUGUCCAAAGACAGGAGAUGCAACACCACCCUAGGGGGAACAACAAGCUCAGUAAAUGGACAUUGCAGAGAUGCUCCCAAUCCCGCUAGACAAUCCGUCGGUUCAUUGCCCUCUUGAGGAACAUGAGUAAUAGAAACCUCCCAAGCCCUUGAGAGCAGCAACUGAAUUUCCAACAAAGCACUCAUGUAUCUGUGGAACUGGAACUUAUUCAACUUUUGUUUGAGUAGCUGAAAUAAUAAUUAAGAUUCUAAAAGAUUAUAUAUGAGUGCCAUUAACUAUCAGAUGAAGUGUAACAGCUACACGGAAUUGAUAAA